CUGGACAACCUCAGUUGACUUGGGGGACAAGGCAGCAGGAGCACCAGGGCCCUUCACAACCUCUUUUGGGGUGGUGGACAAGGCAGCAGGAGCACCAGACCCCUGCACCACCUCCUUCUGGGUGGGGGAUGAGGCAGCAGGAGCACCAGGGCCCUUCACAACCUCUUUCCAGGUGGGGGACGAGGCAGCAGAAGCACUGGACCCCUGCACCACCUCCUUCCGGGUGGGAGAUGAGGCAGCAGGAGCACCGGGGCCCUUCACGA
rnacentral:lncRNA from 1 species